UACAGAGGGUGCAAGCGUUGUUCGGAAUUAUGGGGCGUAAAGGGCGCGUAGGCGGUGCGGUAAGUCUGUAGUGAAAUCUCUGGGCUCAACUCAGAGUCUGCUGCAGAAACUGCCGUGCUUGAGUGUGGGAGAGGUGAGUGGAAUUCCCGGUGUAGCGGUGAAAUGCGCAGAUAUCGGGAGGAACACCAGUAGCGAAGGCGGCACUCUGGGCCGGUACUGACGCUGAGGAGCGAAAGCGUGGGGAGCGAACAGG
rnacentral:rRNA from 1 species